rnacentral:rRNA from 1 species
CCUACGGGGGGCUGCAGUGGGGAAUAUUGGACAAUGGGGGCAACCCUGAUCCAGCAAUGCCGCGUGCAUGAAGAAGGUCUUCGGAUUGUAAAGUCCUUUCGGCGGGGACGAUGAUGACGGUACCCGCAGAAGAAGCCCCGGCUAACUUCGUGCCAGCAGCCGCGGUAAUACGAAGGGGGCUAGCGUUGCUCGGAAUGACUGGGCGUAAAGGGCGCGUAGGCGGUUUGAUCAGUUAGGUGUGAAAUUCCUGGGCUUAACCUGGGGGCUGCACUUAAUACGGUCAGACUUGAGUGUGAAAGAGGGUCGUGGAAUUCCCAGUGUAGAGGUGAAAUUCGUAGAUAUUGGGAAGAACACCGGUGGCGAAGGCGGCGACCUGGUUCAUUACUGACGCUGAGGCGCGAAAGCGUGGGGAGCAAACAGGCUUAGAUACCCUGGUAGUC